rfam:Heterocephalus glaber contig34352, whole genome shotgun sequence.
GGAAGUGAGGGUGGUCUGGCUGCGACAUCUGCCAUCCCAUUGAUCCCCAGGGUUGAUUUGGCUGAUCUGGCUGGCUAAGCGGGUGUCCCCUUCCUCCCUUACCGCUCCCUGUGCCCUCCCCGGGGCUGCAUGUGUAGAGGAAGAGGGGGGAGCCCCCCCCCAGAGGCAGACCUUGCCUCAGUCGAAGGUAUAGGAGGAGUAGCUUCACUCCCCUGCUAGAAACUCCAAACAAGCUCUCAAAGUCUGAAGUGUCCAAACCAAUUCAUAUUUACCAUCAGUGCCAUAUAACAGUUCCAGUU